rnacentral:rRNA from 1 species
ACGCUGGCGGCAGGCCUAACACAUGCAAGUCGAGCGGUAGAGAGAAGCUUGCUUCUCUUGAGAGCGGCGGACGGGUGAGUAAUGCCUAGGAAUCUGCCUGGUAGUGGGGGAUAACGUUCGGAAACGGACGCUAAUACCGCAUACGUCCUACGGGAGAAAGCAGGGGACCUUUCGGGCCCUUGCGCUAUCAGAUGAGCCUAGGUCGGAUUAGCUAGUUGGUGAGGUAAUGGCUCACCAAGGCGACGAUCCGUAACUGGUCUGAGAGGAUGAUCAGUCACACUGGAACUGAGACACGGUCCAGACUCCUACGGGAGGCAGCAGUGGGGAAUAUUGGACAAUGGGCGAAAGCCUGAUCCAGCCAUGCCGCGUGUGUGAAGAAGGUCUUCGGAUUGUAAAGCACUUUAAGUUGGGAGGAAGGGUUGUAGAUUAAUACUCUGCAAUUUUGACGUUACCGACAGAAUAAGCACCGGCUAACUCUGUGCCAGCAGCCGCGGUAAUACAGAGGGUGCAAGCGUUAAUCGGAAUUACUGGGCGUAAAGCGCGCGUAGGUGGUUUGUUAAGUUGGAUGUGAAAUCCCCGGGCUCAACCUGGGAACUGCAUUCAAAACUGACUGACUAGAGUAUGGUAGAGGGUGGUGGAAUUUCCUGUGUAGCGGUGAAAUGCGUAGAUAUAGGAAGGAACACCAGUGGCGAAGGCGACCACCUGGACUAAUACUGACACUGAGGUGCGAAAGCGUGGGGAGCAAAC